AGUGGGGUGUUAAGUUUUGUAUGGCUCUUGUGAUCCUCAUCUGAGCGGUUUUAAAGGGCAGUGCCUUGCUGAGCCAACCUCCCCCCCCCCCCCCCUGUGGGACUUCAUCUGAGGAAGGGGACGAGCGCAGUAUGAAGGAAUUUUUGGGGGGUUUUGUGUGUUGCACGCCGGUGGCACUUGUGAGCUGUAUGUAUGAUGUGGUUUGUAUUGAAGAGCUGACUUGAUUCUCCUUUGAUUUUGUGCACAGGUUUGGUCAGACUUGUGGAUUUCCUUGGCGGUGUGUUUGGCGAGCACGAUACAGACUGGUUACAAGUUAAGUAUAGUUUUUGUUUUAGAAGCCUUCAUGUGCUGUGUGACUGUCUGUAUUAACCUGUGUUUUGCAUGGGGUGUGAGGUCACUGGUAGCACCCUGGGGUUUGUGACUGAUGCAGUGAGGCUGUGACCUGGAGUCUGUUGUGAAUUUUUGUUUGUGUGUUCUGUCUUUUUUUUUAGAUGUGAAUCGUGCUGCUGGCUGGCCUGCCUCCUCUCCUGUGUUUUGCCUUCAGUUAAAGUUGAAGAAUGAAAAGUGCUGGUAUGACUCUUUGGAGUACUGCCUUUAGCACGUGUGCUGCUGUGGUUGUCACGGCUGCUCCAGAAGUUUGAUUUGGUGCUGGGAAAGGAACUGGAAGAUUUGGCAUGGAGUUGUGACCGCAACGCUGCUGAAGUGGAUGAGCAAAGUGCUCGUUACUUUUGAAAGACUUGACGCUGAUGUUGUAUUGCUGGUUUAGUUUUGUAUGUAUUGUGUGCAGGCAAGAGUUUUUCUGUUUUGCAGUUUCAAGAAGGGUUGCAUAGCUUCCUCUCCCUUGACUGGAGGCUGGUGAUUUUUGCUUUUCAGGUGUCUUGUGGUGGUGUAGUUUUGCAGCAUGAAGGAGGAUUUGACAGAGCAGCUUCAGGAUGGAGGUAUGUGUAGUGUAAUAGUUUUGUCCUGUGCCACACCCUGGAAUGACUUGACUUUCUGGACUGCCCUGACUUUAGUAUGCCACCUGACUGGUUUGACUGCCUGGGGGGGGGGGUUGUUUGUUCUUUCUUUCAUUGCUGUAAUGUGAAGUGUAAGAUGUAUCUAAGUGAAGCAUUGUAUAAUGAAGUGUUUUGAAAUGGUGGUAUAAAUGUGACCUGUUUUUGCAUUUACCUUGCAUGUUUUGUGAAAUAAAGCAUUUGAAAGGA